ACUUACCUUAACAAGUUCGGAAGUUUGCACUGCUGGGAACCUCACAGACAAACCGGAAACAGUCGGAAAUGCACAGCCUACACCUAAAACAACAUCAGUCUCGGCACGACAUCUGGCCGUUGCGUCAGAGGGAGUUGGUUUACGGUAAAAGGACGCUCAUUACCAUAGAAAUGAAUACGUAGAAGACUAGUUGCUGGACCGCUGCUGUGACGAGGCUGUGCGUCCGCCAUAUUGGAGGUGGCACCACUGCGCUGUGUACUACUACGAAUGAAUGGACUUUGUUUCAUAAUGCACAUUUUAACAGAGAUUUACAUUAAUACGGCACCAUCAUUUAUCCAAACACACACACACACAUGCUCACGCACACACAAUCAGAGAAAAACAGGUACCAAAAACAAUGUAUUAAAACUUCUUACAGGACUACAAAAUACAACUUUAUUGAUCCCACACACAGUUAAUUUAUGUUUCAUAAGCUGUAAAGGUAAAGUAGUGUAAAAAUCAAUUUAUGUUACACUUUGUAUUAUUAUAUGAAUUGUAAUGAAUGAAUUUAGGAAACCUAUACAGAAUAAAAAA